rnacentral:lncRNA from 1 species
GGGGGAAUAAAGGAGCUUGUGCCCAUUUUCCUGCGGGAAAACUGAAGCAGUGAGAGGCUCAAGGAGAGGGAGGUCUUGGCCAGGAUCCCGAAUCAAGUCAGAAAUGGGACUCAGGCAUCGAGGUAUUUAAUCUCUAGCCCUCUACUUAAUUGUUACAAGUUUUUUAAACCCAGUGACCCCACUCAAGCACUUGGCCUUUGCCGAGUCCUACCACGCUGGGAACACCCACCCGCUUCGUCUGGCCGUCAUGAGUCAGUCCCGACACAACUCAGUCGCCACAUCCUCCAGGUAGCUUCCCUCGACCUGUAGAAAAAGUUACUUGUUGAAUGAAG